rnacentral:rRNA from 1 species
UGAAGCGGCAACAGCUCAAAUUUGAAAUCUGGCCCUUGGGUCCGAGUUGUAAUUUGUAGAGGAUGCUUUUGGUGCGGUGCCUUCCGAGUUCCCUGGAACGGGACGCCAUAGAGGGUGAGAGCCCCGUCUGGUUGGACACCAAGCCUCUGUAAAGCUCCUUCGACGAGUCGAGUAGUUUGGGAAUGCUGCUCUAAAUGGGAGGUAUAUGUCUUCUAAAGCUAAAUAUUGGCCAGAGACCGAUAGCGCACAAGUAGAGUGAUCGAAAGAUGAAAAGCACUUUGAAAAGAGGGUUAAACAGUACGUGAAAUUGUUGAAAGGGAAGCGCUUAUGACCAGACUUGGGCCCGGUUAAUCAUCCAGCGUUCUCGCUGGUGCACUUGGCCGGCCCAGGCCAGCAUCAGUUCGGCGCGGGGGAUAAAGGCUUUGGGAAUGUGGCUCCUCCGGGAGUGUUAUAACCCAUUGUGUAAUACCCUGCACUGGACUGAGGUUCGCGCAUCUGCAAGGAUGCUGGCGUAAUGGUCAUCAGCGACCCGUCUUGAAACACGGACCAAGGAGUCGUCUUCGUAUGCGAGUGUUCGGGUGUUAAACCCCUACGCGUAAUGAAAGUGAACGCAGGUGAGAGCUUCGGCGCAUCAUCGACCGAUCCUGAUGUUCUCGGAUGGAUUUGAGUAAGAGCAUACGGGGCCGGACCCGA